UGAAAUUAUAGAUUUGGUGAGGAAUCAGGCUAAGUCUCAAUCUGGCUGAGUUUUUUUUUCUUUUACUCAGUUAAAAUUAAAGUGCAAUGCGUACAUGCGUGCGUGUGUGCGCGUGAGUGUGUGUGUGUGUUUAAAACCUCAGAUGACUCAUCUAAUUUUCUACAAAAUAAUCUGGUAAAGUUGGGGAUGUACUUCAUCUAAUUUGAUUUAUCUUGAGUUUGAUUUAUCUAUAAGUGGCAUGUAAAUGACCAUGGCUGAUGCACAAUUUUUGCUGUGUCUUUCAGCGGUGGUUAAUAACAAAGAGAGUGUUUGGAGUGAAAGACCUCCAGAUGUUGCUGACCAGGACAGCCUAGGGUCCACAAAUGAAGGUGACAUAGAGUACACAGAGGUGAUUCAUCCUCAACCAGUAGAUCCUACACGAAUUCCUGUAAGAAAAGGCACAGAUACUGUGUACAGUGAGCUUCAGACCACUCAAGGCCUGUUAGAGUAUGCUGACCUCAACCAUGAUCUUCCUGAACCAGUGAACUAACAGACGUCUGUCACCUCAAGCAUCUGUCAUCUCCCUCUGGAAUACUGUUGCCUAUGUGCCAUCAAUCUUCUGUGUCCUCCACUGACAUUCUCCUAAAACAACAUUUAAUCAUUUAUUUCCCAUUCCUCUUAUGUGAUUGAUUGUUUGUCCUAUUUGUCACAAUGCUAUACUAUUGUGUGUAGAGGCGGUACUAAAAACCACAUGCUUUUCACAAAGUUGUUUUGAGUUAUCUUUUUUAAUAAAGUGAAAUUAUUUAUUUGACUUUGUGUAAAAUACCUUGU
rnacentral:lncRNA from 1 species